rnacentral:rRNA from 1 species
CGGAGGAAAAGAAACUAACAAGGAUUCCCCUAGUAACGGCGAGUGAAGAGGGAAGAGCCCAAGAUUGAAAGCUGGCGCCUUCGGCGUCCGCAUUGUAAUCUCAAGAAGUGUUUUCCGUUUCGGACCAUGCCUAAGUCUCUUGGAAAAGAGCAUCAUAGAGGGUGAUAAUCCCGUACAUGGCAUGGAGCGCCCGAGACUUUGUGAUACACUUUCUAAGAGUCGAGUUGUUUGGGAAUGCAGCUCAAAAUGGGUGGUAAAUGCCAUCUAAGGCUAAAUAUUGGGGAGAGACCGAUAGCGAACAAGUACAGUGAUGGAAAGAUGAAAAGAACUUUGAAAAGAGAGUUAAACAGUACGUGAAAUUGCCAAAAGGGAAGGGUAGGAGGUCAGAGAUGCGGUCUGGGAUUCAGCCUUGCUUUUGCUUGGUGUUUUUCCCAGAUGGCAGGCCAACGUCGGUUUUGGGCGCUGGAGAAGGGUGGAAGGAAUGUGGCACCCCUCGGGGUGUGUUAUAGCCUUCUACUGGAUACAGUGACCGAGACCGAGGACAGCAGCGUACUCGCAAGAGCGGGCCUUCGGGCACCUUUACGCUUAGGGCGUUGGCAUAAUGGCCCUCUACCACCCGUCUU